rnacentral:rRNA from 1 species
AGUGAACGCUGGCGGUAGGCCUAACACAUGCAAGUCGAACGGCAGCACAGUAAGAGCUUGCUCUUACGGGUGGCGAGUGGCGGACGGGUGAGGAAUACAUCGGAAUCUACUUUUUCGUGGGGGAUAACGUAGGGAAACUUACGCUAAUACCGCAUACGACCUACGGGUGAAAGCAGGGGAUCUUCGGACCUUGCGCGAUUGAAUGAGCCGAUGUCGGAUUAGCUAGUUGGCGGGGUAAAGGCCCACCAAGGCGACGAUCCGUAGCUGGCCUGAGAGGAUGAUCAGCCCCACUGGAACUGAGACACGGUCCAGACUCCUACGGGAGGCAGCAGUGGGGAAUAUUGGACAAUGGGCGCAAGCCUGAUCCAGCCAUACCGCGUGGGUGAAGAAGGCCUUCGGGUUGUAAAGCCCUUUUGUUGGGAAAGAAAAGCAGCAGGUUAAUACCCCGCUGUUCUGACGGUACCCAAAGAAUAAGCACCGGCUAACUUCGUG